rnacentral:rRNA from 1 species
UACGUAGGGGGCUAGCGUUGUCCGGAAUCAUUGGGCGUAAAGCGCGCGUAGGCGGCCCGGUAAGUCCGCUGUGAAAGUCAAAGGCUCAACCUUUGAAUGUCAGCGGAUACUGCCGGGCUAGAGUACGGAAGAGGCGAGUGGAAUUCCUGGUGUAGCGGUGGAAUGCGCAGAUAUCAGGAGGAACACCAAUAGCGAAGGCAGCUCGCUGGGACGUUACUGACACUGAGGCGCGAAAGCGUGGGGAGCGAACAGG